rnacentral:sRNA from 1 species
ACGGCAGGAACCUAAAACCAGUGCCGAA